AUGAGUCAUCUUGCUACUUUUGCACGUUUAUUUGCAUAUGAAAUCACCAGAAUUUUCGCCAUGGCUCUGGUUCUUGACAUGGUGCUUAAAAGCACUCAUCCCAUCUUGAUUAUUCGCAUACAGUUUUUUGUUUUUGUUUUUACUGAUUCACUUCUAUCGACAUUUUUUUAUGUCCCUUUUUAUGACCAGCUUGGUCAUUUGGUCUGGAUGGAGUCAUUCAACUCGGAAAGAAAAAAGAAUUUGAGAAUGCUUUAUCUUUCAUGCAAUAGUUGCGGUCAAUUGUUCUUGGUUUUUCCUGUAGUAGUUGAUAAUUAG
rnacentral:rRNA from 1 species